CGUCCUUUUCGGACUCGGACU
rnacentral:miRNA from 1 species